CCGCUAAUGAAACAUUCAUGAGUUUACUUUUCACUCCAGGCAUUUCCCCUUGUGCAGAGGAGGAUUCUGUGCCAAAAUCGGGACCACUCCAGAGUUAUUGAUACAGAGCAAAGCAAAGUACUACUGUGCUCCAAGCCCUGGCAAAUGCUGCUCCUUUCACCUGAAAACAAUCCCUGUCUCCCCACCACAGACAAAGCAUACUAUCCCCCACCUGGUUGUUACCUAAGCAGAGCCUUCAUAUCCCAAAGAAGCUACAGCUUCACCCCCAAGAUAAUACAGACUCUGCAGCCUCCUGGGCACCAUCAGACCCCCUCCACUGAAGACUCAGAAUGAAAGCACUGGACCAUAUGCCUUGGAUGAUCUCUAGCAACUAGUUAGACCUAAGUCUCUUUCCCUUAGCAGCAGGAGCAUUCCAACCUGUUUCACCAAUCAUGACCAUUGAGCGACAACUGAUGCAUCUUACAAUGGGAAAAAAAAAAAAAGCACUGAAGUGAAAGUCAAGAGACUGGGUUUUAGCCCCAGCUCUGCUAUCAACCAUCUGGGAGAACCCAACAAGCUCACUAACUAUUCUGCUACAUUAAGUGAUUAGAACAGAAUUGCUCUUCCUAAUAGUCUUGAGCACAACAUUAACCUUCUGUUAAUUAAGAAAAAAAAAGGAAUAGUUUUCAUUCCAGAUUAAACAGAGCAAAAUGUUUCUCAACUGCAGAACAUCUCAGGGCCUUUAGUAUACUAAUGAAUAUGAUGAAUCUUUAGAAAAAUGUAUAUCUUGGAUUUCCCAAAUGUUUUAAUCAGUAAUUACUAUUUUAUGAUAUUAGUACUGAAUAAAAUGGAAGACAAGCUGCGGAAUUCUGCA
rnacentral:lncRNA from 12 species